rnacentral:lncRNA from 1 species
UCCGAGUACUAGAACGACAUUGCCACGACAUGACUCAUCUCUGCCACUACAUCGCUCCUCUUAGGUGCAGCUUCGUCAAGGGCAGACAUCUCAGGACCAUGGCACGGGCUUGGAUUUGAUGCUCAAGCAGACUCUUUCCCCUAACUCAUAUGUGUACACAGGAUAUGACGCAUACACCCAACGUGAGGGAUCUCAGUCGUAUCUCUCCACGCGAGGGAUCUCCAUGCCCGAGGAGACUCGUGUACCGGAUUUAAACCAGUACCACGUACAAUGGCCAGACAGUACAGGCGAGGGAUCUGAUCAGGUAGUCAUGUUUACAUUUUAAUGCAUUUACAAUGAUAUCAUAUAUUAUCCUCUAACAGUUUGUUUACAAUGUUUUUAUGUGCAGGACAUACCUGAUGUUAAUUGAGACGAUGAGUACACCCAACAUGGCCUCAACACACGCGUCCGGGGAGCAUCACAUGAUCAUGGCGACACGGUUACAUCAUUAGUUACAGAGUUCUUCGGAGGGGACGUUAUUGGCCCAUCUUUUAUCCCCGCGGACUCACAACCAUACGCGUACAAUUACGCUUCAGGUUCGCAACAAGGAUUCCCGACUCCACCACCUACGCAGGAGUCGCAGACACAUGAAGCCGAAUUGGAGUAUGGUUGCGGUCUUCGUGUAACUCGGCCACCUAAUCGCUUGUCACUUUCCGGUCAUAAGGAAAGGCCAGGUGGUCGUCGUAAACUAGGGUGAUUCAUCUAUCCACGUGCGCGACCCACUGUAUCUACAUAUGUCAGUAUCAGACUAUCCGAUUUAACAUCUAUGUAUGCUAAAAUAAAAAUGCACCAGUCAGGAACAAUUUUUCC